UCCACCGCGAGGUGGAAUCUGAAGGAAGCUGGAGGCAAACACUCGACCUGAGGCACCCGAGUUCGACAGUCACUAGG
rfam:Geobacillus sp. BCO2 LR69_contig000131, whole genome shotgun sequence.